rnacentral:tRNA from 1 species
GGCCGAGCAGGCGGCGAGCUGUAGCCUCGUACACGGGCGAGCGUGCCCCCCCACCAG